CGUGCAGGCGGUUCCGUAAGUCAGACGUGAAAGCUCUUGGCUUAACUGGGAGAGGUCGUUUGAUACUGCGGGGCUUGAGGUCGGGAGAGGGACGUGGAAUUCCCGGUGCAGUGGUGGAAUGCGUAGAUAUCGGGAGGAACACCAGUGGCGAAGGCGGCGUCUGGCCCGUACCUGACGCUAAGACGCGAAAGCGUGGGGAGCGAACG
rnacentral:rRNA from 1 species